GUGUGCACUGGGAAAGUUGCAGCAUGACUCCCGGGCGUGACGGCUACGACUUGCGUUCUUCCCGCAGGAGACUCAAUUAAAUUCAAACUGCAUGAAAUGAAAAAGUAAAAACAAACAAAAAUGUACCUUCCUUUUCAUCUUUGGCGUCAGACUCAAAAAAGGAAAAUGUGAACCCGCUGGUUUGUUCAUCCUGAGUCAUCAGAGCUGGAGUGUCCUGGACUACCUCAGCUUUCUCUCCAUCAGAGUCCUCAUUCCAAGAAAUCGGGAGUCCAUGCGAAAUCUGUCAUCAGUGCCAAAGCGAGACUGCAAAUUCAUGAGCUAAAGAAAAAACACAAAGACAACUGACAGUCGCAUUCCCAAGAAAUUACUUAUAAACAAGACCCUCCAAGUAUAUUUCCCACGCUGUGAAAUUUACUACAUUAAUGCUUGCAUAACCUCACCUACCCAUGAACCAAACAAAGAGGGCCAUGGAGGUCUCAAUCUCAAAAUAAAAACCUUAAUGUUA